AAAUUUUUCCUGCAAGAAUCGCCCCGCCUUUGUUUAACUAGUUGGUGGGGGAAGGCCCCCCCAAGGGGGCGAUCAGUAAGUGGUUUGUAAGGAAGAUCAGCCCCAUCGGGAUGAAGCCACGCCCCAACUCCUUCGGGAGGCAGCAGUGGGGAUUAUUGUCAAUGGGGGCAAGCAUGAUCCACCCAUCCCGCCUGAGUGAUGAAGCCUUCAGGGUUGUAAAGUUCUUUCAUUGGGGAGGAUAAUGACGGUACCCGCAGAAGAAGCCCCGGCUAACUUCGUGCCAGCAGCCGCGGUAAUAAGAAGGGGGCUAGCGUUGUUCGUAAUCAAUGGGCGUAAAGGGCGCGUAGGCGGCUUUGUAAGUCGGGGGUGAAAGCAUGUGGCUCAACCACAGAAUUGCCUUCGAUACUGCAUGGCUUGAGACCGGAAGAGGUUAGUGGAACUACGAGUGUAGAGGUGAAAUUCGUAGAUAUUUGCAAGAACACCAGUGGCGAAGGCGGCUGACUGGUCCGGUUCUGACGCUGAGGCGCGAAAGCGUGGGGAGCAAACAGGAUUAGAUACCCUGGUAGUCCACGCCGUAAGCGAUGAAUGCCAGCCGUUGGCGAGCUUGCUCGUCAGUGGCGCAGCUAACGCUUUAAGCAUUCCGCCUGGGGAGUACGGUCGCAAGAUUGAAACUCAAAGGAAUUGACGGGGGCCCGCACAAGCGGUGGAGCAUGUGGUUUAAUUAGAAGCAACGCGCAGAACCUUACCAGCCUUUGACAUGUCCCGUGUGGAUCCUGGGGACAGGAUUCUUCAGUUCGGCUGGCGGGAACACAGGUGCUGCAUGGCUGUCGUCAGCUCGUGUCGUGAGAUGUUGGGUUAAGUCCCGCAACGAGCGCAACCCUCGUCCUUAGUUGCCAUCAUUCAGUUGGGCACUCUAAGGGGACUGCCGGUGAUAAGCCGAGAGGAAGGUGGGGAUGACGUCAAGUCCUCAUGGCCCUUACGGGAUGGGCUACACACGUGCUACAAUGGCGGUGACAAAGGGCAGCGAACCCGCGAGGGGGAGCUAAUCCCUAAAAGCCGUCUCAGUUCAGAUUGCACUCUGCAACUCGAGUGCAUGAAGGCGGAAUCGCUAGUAAUCGUGGAUCAGAACGCCACGGUGAAUACGUUCCCGGGCCUUGUACACACCGCCCGUCAUUAAAA
rnacentral:rRNA from 1 species